CAGAGGGUGCAAACGUUGUUCGGAAUUACUGGGCGUAAAGCGUGUGUAGGCGGUCUCGUAAGUCGGAUGUGAAAGCCCUGGGCUCAACCCAGGAAGUGCACUCGAAACUGCGAGGCUAGAGUAUCGGAGAGGUUGGUGGAAUUCUCGGUGUAGAGGUGAAAUUCGUAGAUAUCGAGAGGAACACCGGUGGCGAAGGCGGCCAACUGGACGAAUACUGACGCUGAGACACGAAAGCGUGGGGAGCAAACAGGAUUAGAUACCCUGGUAGUCCACGCCGUAAACGAUGGGUGCUAGGUGUCGCGGGCUUUGACUCCUGCGGUGCCGUAGCUAACGCAUUAAGCACCCCGCCUGGGAAGUACGGCCGCAAGGCUA
rnacentral:rRNA from 1 species